rnacentral:tRNA from 1 species
UGGCCUAGUGGUUAAGGCUAUGGAUCGCCAAUCCGGAGACGGCGGGUUCGAUUCCCGC